UGCUGUGGCUCGGGUUCAUUCCCUGGCCUGGGAACUUCUGUAUGCAGUGGGUGUGGCCAAUAAAUAAACAGGCAUUCUUUUUUAAAAAUAAUUAAAAAAAGAAUGCAUAUUCAGCUCUAUCCAAACACCAGGGCAGUUUCAAACCUACCCAUGCAUGCACCCUCAUUUACAAACCACUCACACCUCUUAGCAGGGCUCAGGCUAAAGGCUAAUGCACAGACUAAUACAAAAGGGGCUAUGAGGAGCCGAGGGCCUGUGGGUUAAGAAAUGAACCAGGGUGAACUAUGGCUUCAUCUCCUGAGCUUGUGUUGGAAGCCAGACCCUGUGCUACUUUUCCUACAUGAUCCCACGUAAUUCUCGCAUCUCCAUGAAGGCUGAAGGGAGGUUAGGAGGCAGAUGGAUAGAGGAUGAAGGGGGAAGCCCUGGAACCUUGCAGGAGACUCCAUAACCAUAAUGGCCAUGACUUAUGGGGCCAUUACUGAGAUCUUAGCAGUGUGCCAAGAACACCCCCACCACUUGUGUAUUCUCUUAAUCUUCACCAUAACCCGCAUCAUAGAACCAAGUAGCCCCCAUUUCUAGUAUCAGGACCAUAAGAGUACCUUGCUCAGAGUCACAUAGUAACAGGGCAGGACUCAAUCCCUGGGAAUCUAAUCACAGACCCUAUGCUUACCCCCCUAGAACACCUCCUUCCACCCACCAAAGCUGCCAGGGGUAACACAGAGACCAGUGGUGGGAUGGAUGAGGAAGGGCUCCUCAGAGCCAGAUUUGUCUAACUAGCAGGCACAAGAGUGGAGUUUAUGUCUAAAGACUCUAAAAGACAGGCCCAUAUGGAAUUUGACCAUGCACUUCGUUUCUGUACUGCAGUAAGCUGCAUAUGAUAAGAGUUUUAGCGAGUUUCACAGUCUGUGCUAAUAUUACAUUUACCCAGCACCCACCCUGGGUGUGCAGCACUGUUCUAAAUGACUAGCAUGGAUUAAGUCGCUGAACCCUUACAGCGAUCCUGGGCAAUGGGUGCUGUGGCGAUGCCCAUUUUACAGAUGAGGAAAAGACUUGCCUGAGGUUGCAGAGGUAGCAGUGGUCCAGCUGAGGUUUGAACCUGGUGAAUCCAGCUACAGGGCCACAGAUAAGAAGAGCAGUACACUGUGAGGCCUAGAGCCGCUUCUUUUCCUGGGGGCAGGUGGAUACCUGCAGGAUUUGAUGUACCUCUUCUCAAACUUCAUGUGAAUGAUUCCUUUGGUACCAGAGAUAACGGGGUGAUACAGAUGCCCUCCAUUCAGUCAUCUUCAAACCCAGGGGGAAAAAAAAGUCUUUAGUGGAUGUUUGUUUUAACCCUUCCCACUUAGCAUGCUCAGCUGAUGGCUGGGUGAGGCUGCCGGAAAGAGUUUGGAGGCCCGCUGAGAGCCUUGACAUCCUUGUCUGAAAGGCAUUGGCAUUGGCAGCUGUCCAGACACCCAUGGUUGACUUUCAAACCAUUUAAUUAAAACCAUAUUUAAAAAAAAAAGAAAAGAAAAGAAAGGGGGUGGGUGCCAGAGCAGGAGAAAGAUCUUAGCAGAAAACAAAAAAGAAAAAAUCUUCUAUGCACUGUUUUUUUCCACCAUUGGAUUGACCAGACAGGGCCACAAAGCUGAUACAACAGGAUUAGCAAAAUUGCAUUGUUGGACAUAGGCACAGCGUGACAUGUGCUACAGCAAAGGCAUUUGGCAGGAUUAACCUGCCAGGGAUAAAGAUGUAGCAGACAAGGGGCUGAAUUAAUGGACUGGCAUGACCAAAGCGGGGAAAUCUAUUUGCAUGCGAUAUUAACUGUGCUAAUAAACUCUGGGCCGGGCUUGGCAGGCCUGGCAGUCUUUUCUGAACCAGGAGUUUUUAUGUUAAAGCCCACCUGGAAGACACCAGUCCAGAUGGGCUAAGGCAAGCAGGCUUUACAGGUUGCCUUUAGGCUUGUCUGCCAUCGUUCUAGAAUAGACAGGCUAUCUUAAAUACCUGUAGCAGCAUGUGUGCCUACUGACUGUGCAGAAUGAUUCUAAUACCUCGGAGUUUUGGUGCCAAAGGAUCCUCUAUUUACAGGGUGAUUGUCUAUGAAAAACAAUGAAGAAAGCUAAGCACAACACACUCUGGAAAAUAUCUACCCGGAAGGGGUGGUUCUGCCUGAUUUGUGUUUUCUGAUUCCCUGAAAGUCAGAGUGAGACCAGGGUGAGCAAGCAGUACCACCCAGGAUAACAUUUCAGAGGUCCUCAUGGGACCAGCAUCUGACAGUGAGUGCUCACUCCCUUCCCCAGUCCUGCUGAAAGUGAUCAUGGGAACAUUGUACGAUCUAUCCAUUCAAAAUUGGGGUGCACUUAAAUACACGAACACAGUCACGAAUGCACAGGUGAGUGUUGGGAGAUGGGGCUGGGAAGUGCUGUGAGAGGCUGGGCAGAUGAGAGGGGAGGGAACCAAUAACGAUGGGGCGAUAGGUGGUGGGGACCUCUGCCAACCCUUGGGGGACAAGAGAGCAGGUAUUUGUCUACCAACUCCUGUGCAUCACUCAUGAGGGAUGUGAACUUCCUUUCGUCCAACAGGCUGACCACACUCCUGCUCCUGUUCCUGACCCAAGGAAGCCCCCAUGCAGAGCACCCUGUCCUCUCUGAAUGGGACCAGCAGCUGGAUGCUGAGUACCAAUAGCAUCUGCCCUGAUUUCCUUUGAGGAUGGAGAGCAGAGCCAAGCUGCAGGGCCUGCUGUUCCAGCUGCUGUGCAGCCCUGGGCUGCCAGGGCACUCCGUGAUGGCCUUUGUCCUUAGCAUCACCAUCUCCUAAGACACAUAGAAGAGUGGGACAGUAACAGAAGGACACAAAAGAUACCGAAUCCGAGGAAGGCCCUGAAGGUCCAGUAACUUGCCUAGGGACACAGGUGAAUCUUAGGAAGAGCCCUGGAGGGCAGCUGCCAGCCGAAGGGCAGGGCGGGGCGCUGUUUUCGCCAUGACCACCUGAUCUCUUCUCGGCUCUUCUUGGUGUGCACGACUGCUCGACUCGUCCGCGUUAACUCUCAUGAUGUGUUUGGGAUGCGCUCCCCCUCUUUGUAGGACUGAGUCAGGGAGAUGUUCUCCCUCCUCGGAGGAUUCCAUUCUGAGCCCAGUCACCUUAGUAGAUGCGGGAGCUACUCCACGUGGCCUUUGAGGUCUGGGACCCUGGGCAAAUUGAGGGAGGGGGUCUUGGCAGAGUAAUCACUCAGAACUCAAGGUAAGAACCGUCCAUCUCUGGUUUUUGUGUUUGGCAGUAGAGGCAUGGGAACCCCUGCAUUCCUCGCAUGUGAGUAUCAGGACUUGAGGAAAAAUCUGUACUCAGAACUUGGUUGCCAGUGGGGAGGGGGGAGGGGGAGGUAGAGGUAGGGGAUUAAGAGGUACAAACUGUUGGGUAUAAAAUGAGCUACAAGAGGCGUUCCCUUCGUGGCUCAGCAGUUAACGAACAUGACUAGGAUCCAUGAGGAUGCGGGUUCGAUCCCUGGCCUCGCUCAGUGGGUUAAGGAUCUGGCUUAGGUGUAGAUCACAGAUGCAGCUCC